rnacentral:rRNA from 1 species
CCUACGGGGGGCUGCAGUGGGGGAUAUUGCACAAUGGGGGAAACCCUGAUGCAGCGACGCCGCGUGAGUGAAGAAGUCUUUCGGUAUGUAAAGCUCUAUCAGCAGGGAAGAAAAUCACAGUACUUGACCAACAUUCCCUGGCCAACUCGGUUCCAGCAGCCGCGGUAAUACGCAGGGGGCAAGCGUUAUCCGGAUUUACCGGGUGUAAAGGGAGCGUAGACGGUUAUGUAAGUCUGGAGUGAAAGCCCGGGGCCCAACCCCGGGACUGCUUUGGAAACUGUGUAACUGGAGUACAGGAGGGGCAGGCGGAAUUCCUGGUGUAGCGGUGAAAUGCAUAGAUAUCACGCAGAACCCCGAUUGCGAAGGCAGCAUGCCGGCUUCCGACUGACGCUGAAGCACGAAAGCGUGGGGAUCGAACAGGAUUAGAUACCCGAGUAGUC